UACAGAGGUCUCAACCGUUGUUCGGAUUCAUUGGGCGUAAAGGGUGCGUAGGCGGUCGUGCAAGUCGGAUGUGAAAUCUCAGGGCUCAACCCUGAAACUGCAUUCGAUACUGCGCGGCUAGAGUGCUGGAGGGGAGACUGGAAUUUACGGUGUAGCAGUGAAAUGCGUAGAUAUCGUAAGGAAGACCAGUGGCGAAGGCGAGUCUCUGGACAGCAACUGACGCUGAGGCACGAAGGCUAGGGGAGCAAACGGG
rnacentral:rRNA from 1 species